UUGAGAACCAUCCUGCAUAAUGAUUUGAUAUUUUGAUUUUAGAGAAGUGGAGUGCAAACAAAUAUUAUGUAGAUGGAAAGAUUAUUAUUUAUUUAUGAUUUUUUGUGAUUACCAUUUUCAGAAAAGUAAAAAGUAAAACAAAACAUCUUAGAUGUGGAUGAAAAAAAUUGUAUUUCAUUGAUCAUAAUAACUGAAGAAGAAAUCAACAAUGAUUAGAUGAUGAGAUUUAUAGAAGUUCCAAAUUAACAGAUUUUGGUUCAGUUAGGUUGAUGCAAGAGCAAAUUAGUUAAAGGUUAAGAUUCUGUUAGGGGUUGUUAGGAAUAGGUUAGAGUCAAUGUGAAUUUCUGUUAAAAGUUUGUUAUGGUUUUGUUCUCAUGACGGUUGGGGGGUCUUUGAAGUUGAAGUUAUGGAAGUUAGGGGUGUUGGUUGAGUGAAAAAUUUGUUAUGGUUAAUUGGAGUUUGUUAGGAGGUUAUGUUUUUUGUAUAGGUUUAUUUGAGUUAGAGGUUCAUUAUCUUGGAAAUUAAUUAAUGAAAAUCAAUUCUGCAGGUUGCUAAUAUGAGCUAUGUUGGUGUAUUCUGAGGAAGAGGUUCUGCAGGAAAGCUCACAUUUCAUGCCGUCGUCUUUGGUCGGAACUUGCUGCUAUUUUGUUUGUGGUUAUUGCAGGCUACUUAAAUCCUAAUAGUCAAGACCAGCAAACUCCUCACUCUUUGACUUCUUUCCUGAUGAUGAAAAAUCAAGGCUCAUUAAUUGUCACUGAGUUGGAGGCUGGUACAGAUGUUGAGGGUCUAUAAGGCGGGGGAUGCAGUGGAGGGGCACAUAUCUCCCCACCAGCUUGAAGAUUAGGCGAAGAGAUAUUGACAUGAGGUGGUCUUGCAGAAAAACCGCUGAAAUUUCCCUGUGUAUUGUAAGAGGCAUGUAAAGGUGAUGGCAACAUAGCAUGAGAGCUAGUUGAGGCGUGUGAAUUCUGGAGCAUUACUGGGUGCAGGGUGACUUCGGGAUGCUGGUUAUUGGUUGUUGUAAUUGCCGGUUAUACAGACAUUCGAUGUGGAUGCGGUUUAAUUUGCUACAUGUGGAAUGUCACGGGUUCAAUGUCGCUGUUUGUGUCGACGGUUGUAGUCGUUGAAGGCAAGCAGGAUGAUCCACCUGCUGCAGUUGUAGAACCUGCUUGCAGUGUAAUUGGCGUGGCAGCCAUUCUUGAAGAGUUCCCUUUUUUGUUGUUUAUAUUAGUAACAAAAUGACUAUAUAUUGUCGGUUUUAAAUUGGAAUGAACUUAGAACUCUUCUGGGAACAAUCAUUGCUACCUUUCAUUGUAUUUAGAAUUAAGUAGGAUUUUAGUUAGGUGGUGUACUGUUGGGAAUCAUGGAACUGAAGCAUGGCAUUGUUAUUAGAUGUUAGAUGUAUUUUGGAGUU